rnacentral:rRNA from 1 species
AUACGUAGGGGGCAAGCGUUGUCCGGAAUUACUGGGCGUAAAGCGCACGCAGGCUGACUUAUAAGUCGGUAGUCUAAUGCGGAGGCUCAACUUCCGUUUAUCUAUCGAUACUGUAAGACUAGAGUAUGUGAGAGGGAAGUGGAAUUCCCGGUGUAGCGGUGAAAUGCGUAGAUAUCGGGAGGAACAUCAGUGGCGAAGGCGACUUCCUGGCACAAUACUGACGCUCAUGUGCAAAAGCUAGGGUAGCGAACGGGAUUAGAUACCCCGGUAGUCCUAGCCGUAAACGAUGGAUACUAGGUGUGGGUGUCGCAGGGCAUCCGUGCCGCAGCUAACGCGUUAAGUAUCCCGCCUGGGGACUACGGUCGCAUGACUGAAACUCAAAUGAAUUGACGGGG